AGAAGCGCGCCGCUUACGGGUAAAAACAAAGAUUAAAGUGAGCGGCGCGCGUGGCAUGGGGGAAAGGGGGAUAGGGAGUGGAGCGGGUCGGCACAAUAAAAACAAAAAGGAAAGAAAAACGUUUGGGAGAGGAGGUGCCGCGCGGCUGCUGUUGCUGUUGCCAUGACAAUGUAAACAAUUAUGUGCGCCGCCAUUUUGCUUCUGCGUCACCCAUUGGCUAGGGCCGUAACUGAAGGGGACCUUGGCGCUAGCGUCGAAAGAGCGUCUGCUCGAAAACGGCCAAUGGGAGCCAUACGGAGUGUCCCCCCCCCCCUGACUCAGUUACUUAGUUGCAGUUGUGGCGUGCGGAGGUUCGCGCCUCGUGCUUUUUGAAAGUAUUUUUUUUUUCUUUUCGGACAUCAUGAUGCACAUUUUAGUGAAAUGCUUUAACGACGAUAAGUGCGAAGUUUAUGCGUUGAAGUCGUUGGCUCACCCAGCUACUAGUCUUCGACUGAUGUGCGAGCCUGGUUGUUUUGAUGAGUUGCGGGGCAGAGGUCAUGAUGCCUGUUGAAGAGAAGGCACCCCGAUACAGUCGCAGCCGAACUUCUGCAGAUAGGUUACGCAUGCAGCAAAUUCGCAGGUGCUAAAGCGUUCUACGUCAACAGCACCUUGACGUCGUGCAAGAGACACCCGUUGAUAUGUGGCUGAUUCACUAGCAAGCUCGCAUCUCUGUUGCCACUCUCCAUCAAAUGGGAUUUUCAACUAUUUUUUGUGCUGCUCUGUGGUGUACUAGCUGCCGCAUGGACGCUGUGAAGGCUUACUUUCGAUUUGCUCUGGCGUUUAGUAGUAAAGGAUGGGCUACCUGUUGAGGGGAGGCAUUUGCUUUUGUUUGUGAGAAUGUUUACUAGCCUAACCAAGUGAUACGUGCGUACUAUAAACAGCAGCACGGACAGAGGCGGACGACGAAAUAGGUAGGAGCACACACGAGCGCAAGCUCAACUAAAAGUUUACUUUUGAUGACUGAGCUAUUAAAGACACUGGUCAACUUGACAAAGGUAAAAAGCCGUGCAUGCAUGGCAGAUACAGCCACGUGCGACAAGAAAAAAUAUGAAAUAGCCAUGUCAUGUAGAAUAAGCGUGCGUGAAAAACGAGAACUAUCGGACAAAUCUUUCGGUUUUUCGAAAGAUUUGUCCGGUAAGUGAUACGACCCAACGAGAACUGCUCUUUUGAGAACUGCAACUUUUUCCCACUAAGGGCAACAGAUAACCUGGUUAUGCAUUUGUUUCGUUUAUGAUCAAUAAAUAUUGCUUCUGGAACUCCUCCGGUGUUGCGGUAUAGAGCAGAAAGAACUAUUGUUUCAUCACAAAGACCAGAACGCAAGAGGACUUAUGGAAGCAUGAUUUAUUGAUCACGAAGAAAAAUUCAUAAGCAAGAUUAUUGUGACCCUAAGUGGGGAAGAGUUGCUGCAGUACUUCUCGUUAAUAUCACUUACAGGACAAACCUUUCAGUUCUCAUGUUUUUGUUAGUUUUGACGCACAUGUUUAUUCUACAGGACGUCUUUCGGUCCUUUUUGUUGUGCCGGACUGUUUCUGCUGCGCAUACAUGGCUUUUUCUUAGUGAAGUUGGCCAGUGUGUUUAAAAUAUUUGUCUUCACGAAUAAACUAGUUGAGUCAGCGUUCAUGUGCGUUCCUGCCUUAAUUCAUCCUUCUCGUCUCUGGAUGGUUGUCAAAUAUAAAUGUACACCAAAUUGGCGAAGUGUUCAUAGAAUUGAAACAUGAAGUUAUUUGCGCUGUUUAUUUCAGGAAGAACGCUAUAGUGUCUUUUCUUUGUUUUUAACACUGAUGUACAUUUUUCUAGUUCACCUUCAAGGAGUCCCCUGAGGAAGCCAAUAAGAGUGAUCGUAACUUCCUUGGUGUGUAAGAUUUAUGAAUUUCAUCAAUUCAAGGCACGACAUGUCCCAUGCCUGUCUGUAGGUAUGCAAGUAUUCGUAGUUUUUAAAAAUACUAAGCUUUACUUUCGGUUCUCAUGACGCUGCUUUGUACUGUGCUGCAUUCUCUAGGCGCAGGAACCUUUUUACGCGGUAAGCGCAUGUGUUCUUUUUGUAUACAUUGGACAAAAAAUUGUCGUGAGCUUAAAUAUGCAUGUAUAUCGCUUGUAAUUUUUUUCAACACGGGUGCUGUGUCUCCCUGCGUCUUUGUUACGGCUUUGUCCCAAUUUUUAUGCAACUUUUAUGUAUCUUAUGCAAUAAAAUUUUGGUAGCAUUUUACCUGCGCAAUUGAGGUCAUUGGUGUUUCGUAUACGCAUUUAUUUGCGUUUUUCACUGUCUCGCCAAUCUGGCUGUGCAGUCAUUGAAACCUUUUCCAAUCCUUUAUGACUAUUUCUGGGGUACUUGAUACUGCAAGUGCAGGUGACCAUCUAUUUGGCACUACGGAAUUGUGUUAGCCGUGUGUUACUACCAGUUUUCUGUGCUAAAUAAUUAUUUUUUCUCUUAUCGUUCAAGGUAUUAGCCUUGCCUUAUCUCUUUAUUGACUGAGGUACCACUUAGUUGCUGUAUAUAGGGAAAAGGCCCCAAAAAGUGCUCUAAUUAGCUUUGUGCAAGUCCAGAAAAAUGACCUGAAAAUGAGCUCACUAAAUUGAGGAAAUGUCACCAACGAACUCUUCUAUACCUCAAUUUAACAUAAUCAAAUGGUGUACUGUUUGUUCUUGAUUUGUGCCAGGGAGAUAAGCUGCAUUCAUUACACAGAAGUUUUACAAGUUUCCUUCUGAAGAAAGCAAACCUGGAUCGUCAGGAAUGUAUGAUUCAGGUGCUCACCAUGCCCGACAACUUUCUAAAUGAUGUCUCGUCAAUUAAUAGCUAUGUUGAGUGAUGUUAUUUUAUAAAAUAAUUGGCAAACGUGAAAAUAUAUACAUCUCGAAUACAAAAAGCUCGGGCAAGUCUACUUUGGUGCUUCAUUAAAUUUUAAUCGUGGUAAAAGACGUGUGCUAAAGCUUGUAUAUAUUUACGUGAAGUCAUUUGUUUCAAGUCUGUUAUUUUGCCUUCUCACAGUCAGCCGUAGCUCUUCCUGUGAUGUAUUAGUGUGCGAAACAUUUUAAUGUAACAUAUUCAGAUGUCUUUUGUGUAUUCACACGCAAGCAGCUUUAAGUGCUCAUGUGUUCAAAGCUGGUUGUUACAAGGGUAUGCUUAAGUCCUGGCUUUUGAGUCGCUUUGCCUUCUAGUCAUACACUUAAGUCGAAAGUGAAGACCACAAUGAUCGUUUUGAUUGAAUUCAUAUGUAUAAGUUUUUCAGAUGUAUUUACACGGCUAGAAGGCUGUAGGUACUAGCCUAUGUGUCCAGGUUCGAUGUAGUGGUGCCUUAUGUACUGUAAUAAUGUUUCAUGUGCACGUUUGCAAUGUUUCAGUGUAAAUAAAGGUACUUCAAAUUGA